rnacentral:tRNA from 1 species
AGGGGUGUAGCCAAGCGGUAAGGCAAGGGACUUUCAAGGAUUAAUUCAAGUAGAAUUCCUUUUUAGGUAUGUUGGUUCAAAUCCAAUAUCCUUGACCAGACUCCCUGAUUCGAAGGUUCAAAUCCUUCCAUCCCUG